rnacentral:lncRNA from 1 species
UCAAUACCUACUAGUGAAGGCCCGCGCUUCGCGGCGGAAAAUUUGCGUAACUUUUAAAAUAUUUUGAACAAAAUUUUUUAUUUUUUUAAUUUUUAAAUCUAAUUUAAAAUUUCAAACAUAAAAAAAUUAAAUAUAAAAUUAUAUAUAAUAAAUAAAUAUAUAUUUAUAAAUAAAAUUAGAUAUAUAUAUAUAUAUAUAAGUUAAAAUUAAAAUUUAAAAUU